CUGCUGCCUUCCGUAGGAGUCUGGUCCGUGUCUCAGUACCAGUGUGGGGGACCUUCCUCUCAGAACCCCUACGCAUCGUCGCCACGGUGGGCCGUUACCCCGCCGUCUAGCUAAUGCGCCGCAUGCCCAUCCUCUUCCGAUGAAUCUUUCCUCGAUCUCGGAUGCCCGAAACCGAUAUACGCGGGAUUAGCCUCCCUUUCGGAAGGUUGUCCCCCUGAAGAGGGCAGGUUGCAUACGUGUUACUCACCCGUGCGCCGGUCGUCCGG
rnacentral:rRNA from 1 species